rnacentral:rRNA from 1 species
GUGGGGAAUAUUGGACAAUGGGCGCAAGCCUGAUCCAGCAAUGCCGCGUGCAGGAAGAAGGCCUUCGGGUUGUAAACUGCUUUUGUACGGAACGAAACGGUCCGGGUUAAUACCCUGGGCUAAUGACGGUACCGUAAGAAUAAGCACCGGCUAACUACGUGCCAGCAGCCGCGGUAAUACGUAGGGUGCAAGCGUUAAUCGGAAUUACUGGGCGUAAAGCGUGCGCAGGCGGUUUUGUAAGACAGGCGUGAAAUCCCCGGGCUCAACCUGGGAAUUGCGCUUGUGACUGCAAGGCUGGAGUGCGGCAGAGGGGGAUGGAAUUCCGCGUGUAGCAGUGAAAUGCGUAGAUAUAGGAAGGAACACCGAUGGCGAAGGCAAUCCCCUGGGCCUGCACUGACGCUCAUGCACGAAAGCGUGGGGAGCAAACAGGAUUAGAUACCCCAGUAGUCC